AAAUUUGUGAAAUUCACAAAAGGCUCUACUUCGGCACUCAUACUCUGGUAGUUCAAGGAGCAUUAGGAGAUCAUCAAGGGAGAUUUGACGAAGAGCUUUUUCCCACUCCCAACUUUCUGCCAUUCCCAGCUUAUGAUCAGGGGCUCCUAUGAAACCCUGUGUCAAGAGGGCAACUGGAAGCACUAAGGCCGUCCAGGUUAUCACCACACUUACAAGGAAGAAUGAGAAGCUCUCCCAUAUGUCUACAACUUGUGUCUCCCUGCCUGUAAAGGGUGAAAGGGUUCCAAUACUACUAAUAUAUAUAAUAAAUGAAAUGUUCUUAAUAAUCUUGGCAAUCUGAAGACUACCUGAUUUUUCAACUUUAUAUCAGCAGAUGGUAACUGAUCAAACAAA